AGAGUUUGAUCAUGGCUCAGAUUGAACGCUGGCGGCAGGCCUAACACAUGCAAGUCGAACGGUAACAGGAAGCAGCUUGCUGCUUCGCUGACGAGUGGCGGACGGGUGAGUAAUGUCUGGGAAACUGCCUGAUGGAGGGGGAUAACUACUGGAAACGGUAGCUAAUACCGCAUAACGUCGCAAGACCAAAGAGGGGGACCUUCGGGCCUCUUGCCAUCGGAUGUGCCCAGAUGGGAUUAGCUAGUAGGUGGGGUAACGGCUCACCUAGGCGACGAUCCCUAGCUGGUCUGAGAGGAUGACCAGCCACACUGGAACUGAGACACGGUCCAGACUCCUACGGGAGGCAGCAGUGGGGAAUAUUGCACAAUGGGCGCAAGCCUGAUGCAGCCAUGCCGCGUGUAUGAAGAAGGCCUUCGGGUUGUAAAGUACUUUCAGCGGGGAGGAAGGCGAUAAGGUUAAUAACCUUGCCGAUUGACGUUACCCGCAGAAGAAGCACCGGCUAACUCCGUGCCAGCAGCCGCGGUAAUACGGAGGGUGCAAGCGUUAAUCGGAAUUACUGGGCGUAAAGCGCACGCAGGCGGUCUGUCAAGUCGGAUGUGAAAUCCCCGGGCUCAACCUGGGAACUGCAUUCGAAACUGGCAGGCUAGAGUCUUGUAGAGGGGGGUAGAAUUCCAGGUGUAGCGGUGAAAUGCGUAGAGAUCUGGAGGAAUACCGGUGGCGAAGGCGGCCCCCUGGACAAAGACUGACGCUCAGGUGCGAAAGCGUGGGGAGCAAACAGGAUUAGAUACCCUGGUAGUCCACGCCGUAAACGAUGUCGACUUGGAGGUUGUGCCCUUGAGGCGUGGCUUCCGGAGCUAACGCGUUAAGUCGACCGCCUGGGGAGUACGGCCGCAAGGUUAAAACUCAAAUGAAUUGACGGGGGCCCGCACAAGCGGUGGAGCAUGUGGUUUAAUUCGAUGCAACGCGAAGAACCUUACCUACUCUUGACAUCCAGAGAACUUUCCAGAGAUGGAUUGGUGCCUUCGGGAACUCUGAGACAGGUGCUGCAUGGCUGUCGUCAGCUCGUGUUGUGAAAUGUUGGGUUAAGUCCCGCAACGAGCGCAACCCUUAUCCUUUGUUGCCAGCGGUUAGGCCGGGAACUCAAAGGAGACUGCCAGUGAUAAACUGGAGGAAGGUGGGGAUGACGUCAAGUCAUCAUGGCCCUUACGAGUAGGGCUACACACGUGCUACAAUGGCGCAUACAAAGAGAAGCGACCUCGCGAGAGCAAGCGGACCUCAUAAAGUGCGUCGUAGUCCGGAUUGGAGUCUGCAACUCGACUCCAUGAAGUCGGAAUCGCUAGUAAUCGUGGAUCAGAAUGCCACGGUGAAUACGUUCCCGGGCCUUGUACACACCGCCCGUCACACCAUGGGAGUGGGUUGCAAAAGAAGUAGGUAGCUUAACCUUCGGGAGGGCGCUUACCACUUUGUGAUUCAUGACUGGGGUGAAGUCGUAACAAGGUAACCGUAGGGGAACCUGCGGUUGGAUCACCUCCUUA
rnacentral:rRNA from 2 species